GAGUUUGAUCAUGGCUCAGAUUGAACGCUGGCGGCAUGCCUUACACAUGCAAGUCGAACGGCAGCAUGAUCUAGCUUGCUAGAUUGAUGGCGAGUGGCGAACGGGUGAGUAAUACAUCGGAACGUGCCCUGUAGUGGGGAGUAACUAGUCGAAGAUUAGCUAAUACCGCAUACGACCUGAGGGCGGAAAGUGGGGGACCGCAAGGCCUCAUGCUAUAGGAGCGGCCGAUGUCUGAUUAGCUAGUUGGUGGGGUAAAGGGCCCACCAAGGCGACGAUCAGUAGCUGGUCUGAGAGGACGAUCAGCCACACUGGGACUGAGACACGGCCCAGACUCCUACGGGAGGCAGCAGUGGGGAAUUUUGGACAAUGGGCGAAAGCCUGAUCCAGCAAUGCCGCGUGUGUG
rnacentral:rRNA from 1 species